UACGAGGGGUGCAAGCGUUGCUCGGAAUUAUUGGGCGUAAAGGGCGCGUAGGCGGCUUUUCAAGUGACGGGUGAAAUCCCUCGGCUUAACCGAGGAACUGCCUGUCAGACUGGAAGGCUUGAGACCGGGAGAGGUGAGUGGAAUUCCCAGUGUAGCGGUGAAAUGCGUAGAUAUUGGGAGGAACACCAGUGGCGAAGGCGGCUCACUGGACCGGAACUGACGCUGAGGCGCGAAAGCGUGGGGAGCAAACAGG
rnacentral:rRNA from 1 species